AUCAUUUCUCUACGUUUUGGCUCGGAUCAAGUGUAGUAUCUAUUCUAAUCAAUUUAAUAUUUGAUUUGUUCUUUAAACGAGACUGUUAUAUCCAGCAGGUUUUUUUUUUUUUAGAGUAAGGAGCUAGGAUUGGAGUUUGCUCUUUUCAUAUACUAAUCUAAUGUUAUAGUACAUCUGUCUUUGUUCUCGAGAAAGCUUCC